GCUGUGGCAGUCAGCUGGGGGAGCGGGGGCCGGCCCCCAACCUCUUCUGCGCAGGAAAAGGCUCGCCCGACUACACGUUGGUGAAAACUACUUUCUGUUUGUUGCGCAUAUGUAACACUUGUGCUUACUUGACUCUUGUUGUGCUAAAUGAAAUGUCAUGUGUACCUCUGCCGAGUCCAUUAAAGUUUGCCUUUU